ACUCCUACGGGAGGCAGCAGUGAGGAAUAUUGGUCAAUGGGCGAGAGCCUGAACCAGCCAUUCCGCGUGAAGGAAGAAGGCCUUAUGGGUUGUAAACUUCUUUUCUGUAAGAAGAAUAGUUCCGACGUGUCGGGAUAUGACGGUAUUAUAGGAAUAAGCAUCGGCUAACUCCGUGCCAGCAGCCGCGGUAAUACGGAGGAUGCAAGCGUUAUCCGGAUUUAUUGGGUUUAAAGGGUGCGCAGGUGGUUUUAUAAGUCAGUGGUGAAAGUCUGGCGCUUAACGUUAGGAUUGCCAUUGAUACUGUAGGACUUGAGUAUGGAUGAGGUAGGCGGAAUGUGUAGUGUAGCGGUGAAAUGCAUAGAUAUUACACAGAACGCCGAUUGCGAAGGCAGCUUACUAAUCCAUGACUGACGCUGAGGCACGAAAGCGUGGGGAUCAAACAGGAUUAGAUACCCUGGUAGUCCACGCUGUAAACGAUGAUCACUCGCUGUUUGCGAUAUACGGUAAGCGGCUGAGCGAAAGCAAUAAGUGAUCCACCUGGGG
rnacentral:rRNA from 1 species